rnacentral:rRNA from 1 species
AUUGAACGCUGGCGGCAUGCCUUACACAUGCAAGUCGAACGGCAGCACGGACUUCGGUCUGGUGGCGAGUGGCGAACGGGUGAGUAAUACAUCGGAACGUGCCCAGUUGUGGGGGAUAACUACUCGAAAGAGUAGCUAAUACCGCAUGAGAACUGAGGUUGAAAGCAGGGGAUCGUAAGACCUUGCGCAACUGGAGCGGCCGAUGGCAGAUUAGGUAGUUGGUGGGAUAAAAGCUUACCAAGCCGACGAUCUGUAGCUGGUCUGAGAGGACGACCAGCCACACUGGGACUGAGACACGGCCCAGACUCCUACGGGAGGCAGCAGUGGGGAAUUGUGGACAAUGGGCGAAAGCCUGAUCCAGCAAUGCCGCGUGCAGGAUGAAGGCCCUCGGGUUGUAAACUGCUUUUGUACGGAACGAAAAGCUUCGGGUUAAUACCCUGGAGUCAUGACGGUACCGUAAGAAUAAGCACCGGCUAACUACGUGCCAGCCGCCGCGGUAAAAC